UUUAGGGUAUGGAAUCCUAAACUUGCGCUUGAAAUACAAACUAAGAACAUUCUCCAUUAAAUUAACUUUCAAAC